AGAACUUAGCAGAGAUGCUUUGGUGCCUUCGGGAACUCUGAGACAGGUGCUGCAUGGCUGUCGUCAGCUCGUGUUGUGAAAUGUUGGGUUAAGUCCCGCAACGAGCGCAACCCUUAUCCUUUGUUGCCAGCGGUUAGGCCGGGAACUCAAAGGAGACUGCCAGUGAUAAACUGGAGGAAGGUGGGGAUGACGUCAAGUCAUCAUGGCCCUUACGAGUAGGGCUACACACGUGCUACAAUGGCGCAUACAAAGAGAAGCGACCUCGCGAGAGCAAGCGGACCUCAUAAAGUGCGUCGUAGUCCGGAUUGGAGUCUGCAACUCGACUCCAUGAAGUCGGAAUCGCUAGUAAUCGUGGAUCAGAAUGCCACGGUGAACACGUUCCCGGGCCUUGUACACACCGCCCGUCACACCAUGGGAGUGGGUUGCAAAAGAAGUAGGUAGCUUAACCUUCGGGAGGGCGCUUACCACUUUGUGAUUCAUGACUGGGGUGAAGUCGUAACAAGGUAAGCGUAGUGCU
rnacentral:rRNA from 1 species